rnacentral:tRNA from 1 species
GCCACUAAUAGCCUAGUGGACAUGGCACCUGCCCGGUAAGCAGAAGAUUGUGGGUUCGAUUCCCGCCCCUGGACA